GGUGCUUGACUGCCGAUGAGACCAGGACGCUCGGAUCAACCCUACUCCUCCGCCUGAGCGUCCAGUGCGAGCUCUGAAUUUCAGAACUGACAAUCUGACAACGCUCUGAACGCCCAGAGCGCUCUCUGGCACUCCAAAGUUUAUUUACAAACGCACCCUGUAUGUUGAGCGGAAACGCUGUCGGUGGAGGGUUUCCACUAGUUACCACAGCCUUAAAGUCAAAAUUGGCUAUAUUUUCAAAAUUCAGAACUAAAAUAUGCUUAAUUUAAGGUUAGAAUUAGGCAUACAUUUAGCAGUGUGGUUAAGGUUAGGUUUAAAAUCUGAUUUUAAGAAAAUAAAUGGUAGAAUAGGAGAAUAGGCGGGGUUUAUGACUUUGUGGCUGUGUGACGACCGUGAGGAGGCUACUAAAGAAAAUGCUAUUGUUGUCGUCUGUCAGCUAGACGAUAACUGGCAUAGAUACUUAGCUAGCUGAAAUUAAUUAUCAAUUAGUAUUUUAUAUAUUGACAACGCCACAUAUUACAUGUUAAAAUGAAAAAAGGAGGAAUGCUCCGUUGGGCCUAACUGCUCUGACCUGAGGGAGCUGAGUCUGCUCCCCCCCUUUGAUCCCUGACUCUUGACCCCUGGACGGUGUAACCAUGACGACGGGGGAUUGUUGCCACCUCCCGGGCUCCCUGUGUGACUGCACUGGCAACGCUGGCCUGUCCAAAAGUGUGGAGGAGUCGGAUAACUGCAGAGCGCAGUAUGUCACCCAGGUCACAGCCAAAGAUGGGCGGCUGCUCUCCACCAUCAUCAAACCUUUGAGCACACAGAGCGAUGGGCCAAUCUGCCGGAUCUGCCACGAGGGGGCCAACGGCGAAGGGCUUCUGUCCCCCUGCAACUGCACAGGGACUCUGGGCACGGUGCACAAGAGCUGCCUGGAGAAGUGGCUCUCCUCCUCCAACACCAGCUACUGUGAGCUGUGCCACACAGAGUUCACCAUUGAGCGCAGGCCCAAGCCCCUCACAGAGGUAACAAAGUGGCUGCGGGACCCGGGCCCUCGUAACGAGAAGCGCACAUUGUUCUGUGACAUGGUGUGUUUCCUAUUAAUCACGCCCCUGGCAGCCAUCUCUGGCUGGCUGUGUCUGAGGGGAGCCCAAGAUCACCUGCACUUCAACAGCAGACUGGAGGCCUUGGGCCUCAUCGCCCUCACCAUUGCCCUUUUCACAAUCUACGUCCUCUGGACUCUGGUAUCAUUCCGCUACCACUGUCAGCUCUACUCUGAGUGGAGACGAACCCAUCAGAAAGUACGCCUCCUCCUUCCAGACGCAAAGGGGCGGCAUUCUAACCAGCAUUCCUUGCUCUCCACCAAGCUGCUGAAAAAGACGGCAGACGAGACUAUAGUAUGAGGUCAAAGGUGGGAAGAUUUGAAGUUGGUGUUCUUCGGGUGCUGGAGGUUCUCAAUGAAAAAGCACGUCUCCAACCAGAGCCCAAGCUCUUUUUCUAUUUAAAUCCUUUUUACCUAUGUGUGUCAUCAUCGUCAGCACUUCUUUUUUAUUUUUGUCGUCUGAGCCUCUGAUCGUGUUUUUUUGUGAUCUGGUAAAGAAACCAGUAUGUUAGAGACCAGUGAUUACCUUGCAGUAUGGUGUUUCUGAAGGUUUGGAAAAGGGCAGUUGAUUGGAUGGUUCUCCGCUGUGCCCUGCAAAGGGACGACCUAGGAUUCAUUGGACAGAUGCUCAGUGGAGAUGGCUGCUGAAGCUUUAAGACCAAACCCUCUAGUGUUUAAGUGGACAAUUCCCACUUUUCUCCUCCCUAAUUUCCUUCACAGCGUCUCUAAAAGUGUAGCAUGGAUCGUUGACGCUGAUCUACGGCGAUCCAUCCACCGGUUGGUUCCCUAACCACUGAGUGUAGAAGUAAGAAGCUUAAAGCUUUGAUUCCUGUUUACCAGCCACAGGCUAUUAGACUGGGGGGAUUAUAGAUGCUUAUGACAUUGCUACGCAAGCCAGUUGACUCCCUUCAAUUCAGCUCCAUCUGUUUUCCCCCUUGGUGUGAGCAGGAAUUUUGUUCAUAAAGAUGGAGAUUGUGCAAUAAAACACUGGACACGGUUUCCUCUCACAGUACGUGAUGAGACUGCUACCAACAUGCACAGUUUUGCAUGCAUGUACUGUUACUUUUUUAUUUUUGGUAUUGUUUUUUUUUUGGGGGGGGGGGGUUACUGUGGAGGAUUGUACGAGAGGUUGGUUGAGCUCCCAUACAUCUGGUGUUACUAGUUAGUAUGUUGAACUGGGUUUCCCCCCUAGAGUAUAGAGGUCUCUCAUACUAUUAGCACCAAAUAGAGUGAGCUGAUCUAGGUAGGUAGGUAGGUCUACACGCCACUGAUGAGAGAAAAAGAAACUUUACGGAAAUGUAUAUUCCACCAACAUGAAGUUAAAAACUUUUUGUGGUUGACGGAAAGUAAGUCUUACCUUUCCAGGACAAUGUUAGAGUAGCGCAGGUCAAGAUCACUCUUCAAUAGCUAGUACAUUGCUCUCCUACGACGAUAGACCAAUGAAAUGCUUUGAAAUAUUAUGUGUUUUUUUGUGUAGUCAUAACAUUUGCUAGUAAUCACAUGCAGCAAGAGCGUAGAUUGGUUAAUUGAUGUUACUUCAUGUUUUGUAGCAGUUGUAUUCCCUUUCUGAUAUGCAGGCGACCAGACUGACGUCUAGUCUCAGACGUCUACAGAUCUCAACUGUACCUUGACAGUAGAACCCAGUGUGUGGAGCAAGACCAGUGUGCAGGUUCAACUCUUCCAGUACCUGUAGGCUUCAUGCAUUGGUUUGACUGAGGGUUUAACACCUGAAGGGCUUUGCAGUGGGACAGCUAAGCUGUGUAAGUGUUAUGCAGCUGUGAGAAUCCUGGUUAUGAGAGUGACUUUCUGGAAUCAGUUUCAACCUGAAAAAUUGUGAUCUCCAGUCACAGUAAACGAAAUAGGAAGUCAUCCUCUCAACUUGAACAGCAUAGACAGACAGUCAGCCUAGUUCAGUGGUGUCCUGUUGGGAGACCCCUUUAAAAAAAAWAAAGUACCCUCCUCUUUUUUGUUGUUGUAAAGUGUUGAUUUGACCUCUAAAGGAAUCCUCUUGUCUGGAAAAUAUAUUUGAUGUUAAAUAAUACUAGAGCUUAGUAGGAGGUUAUUUUCCUGUAUGUCAAUGUGUGUUGUGGAGUGGAACAGCUUUCAGGAUCUUUCAGCAUGGAGAGAGUUCUUAUCUGCAUUGUCAGUGAUGGGCCACUGCCCUAUCACAUGCUGUCUCUGAUUGGUGCUUUUUGCCUCUACCUGACAUGUUGGGAGCUAUGGAGACUUUGCAAUGUAGGGUGUAGUUACAGCAGUGUGCAAUUUGAUAACUUUACAAUGCAAUUCUUACCUAUAACCUUAACAAUACAUAAUGAAAUCAGAAAUAUAAUGUAGAAGCUAGUGCAUAUGAAGGAUCAUAGCAGUUUGCUCACUUGUGCAAUCUGAGAGGGCCACGAUAGGAUGUUUUCUUUUGCUAUGUGAGUCUGUGAGUUGCCAACAAUAUGCAACACUGCUCCCUUUGAAGGCAGCUCAGAGACAUACUUGCCACAUUACUCCAGCUUUUAUAUAACCGUUAACUCAAACAGGUCCUUUUCUCCAAAGAUGCAUUGAUUCUUGUUUUAUAUAUCAAAUGACACUUUCACAAAACUAUCAUGGAAAUCAAUACAGUUUGGUUGUUUCUAUAGUCUUCUAACACCGACUUUGAAAGGGAUUUAAAAGCAUUGCUGAUAUAGUACAAUUUUCCAAUAUCUGGUGUUUGGGUAUUGCUCCUCAGAUUUUCUUUUUGGUUUGAAGACGCAACAAAGAUUCCUUGGCAUUCUCAUGCUUGUAUGUAGAAGGAGCAACAUACCAGAUUUGUAGACUUGUUUUUGUUUGAUAAUGUUUUAAUCUCUUGUUAAUUCUGCCACUGUUUUUAACAUAAUGAUGUGUAUCAGUUGUAAUUUAUGUUCAAUUAUUCAUUAAGCACAGGGUUUUUAUCACUCUUAGAGAUGGAAUCCGCAGAAGCUGAGGAGCGUCACACAGCAUGGUAAAACAAAUUAUGCUCUUCUAUCGCAGGUGCAAUGAUGUCUGUUGGUGGGAAAACAGUGUUCGUUUUUUGUUGUUGUAAUAUCGCAAACGGACGUGGCAGUUCCACCAUUAAGGAUUCCAGCUUUAACUAUAAUGUUUAUGUUGUGCAGUGGAAAAAGAAAGAUGUCUAAACCCAAAAUAUGUUGGUGCUUGCAAUCAGCCAAGAAACUGCAAAGCAAAUAAAAAAUGGAAGCUACAGUAUGGAUAAACAUCAA